rnacentral:rRNA from 1 species
CGCAGGCGGGCACGUAAGUCCGACGUGAAAGCCCCGGGCUUAACCCGGGAAUGGCGCCGGAAACUACGUGUCUUGAGGACCAGAGAAGCAGGGAGAAUUCCUGGUGUAGCGGUGAAAUGCGUAGAUAUCAGGAGGAAUACCUGUGGCGAAAGCGCCCUGCUGGACGGUUCCUGACGCUGAGGCACGAAAGCGUGGGGAGCGAACGGGAUUAGAUACCCCGGUAGUCCACGCCAUAAACGAUGGCCAUUAGGUGUGGGAGGUUCCAACCUUCCGUGCCGUAGCUAACGCAUUAAAUGGCCCGCCUGGGAAUUACGACCGCAAGGUUGAAACUCAAAGGAAUUGACGGGGGCCCGCACAACCGGUGGAGCACGUGGUUUAAUUGGAUGCCAAGCCAAGAACCUUACCAGGCCUUGACAUGUCAGUAGUAGGAACCCUUAAAGGGGAUCUGAUUCCACACUUUGCGUGGAAAGCUGUCACAGGUGGUGCAUGGCUGUCGUCAGCUCGUGCCGUGAGGUGUUGGGUUAAGUCCCGCAACGAGCAAAACCCCUGUUCUUAGUUGCCAGCAUUCAGUUGGGGACUCUAAGGACACUGCCCGGGAAAACCGGGAGGAAGGUGGGGAUGACGUCAAGUCCUUAUGCCCCUUAUGGCCUGGGCGACACACGUGCUACAAUGGGCGGCACAGAGGGUAGCCACACCGAGAGGUGAAGCGAAUCCCUUAAAACCGCUCGUAGUUCGGAUUGCAGUCUGCAAUUCGACUGCAUGAAGUCGGAAUCGGUAGUAAUCGCGGAUCAGCCACGCCGCGG